CCUUCCUUAAAAUCUGGGCAUAUAGUGUCCUAAUUAAUUACUGAGUUCAACAAGGUCAUGAAUUUAGGUCUUUUGAGGAAAAAGAACCAUAGAGAAGCUAAGGUUUAAUCUGUAAAUAGAGAAGAAUAGAAUCAAAGAGAGGGCCACAGACCAUUUGGGUCUUAAAUUGGAGGUCUUUUGUAUCUUUGAAGGAAGGCAGGUUUAAAUCCUAACUAAGCAUAUUUUUUUUCUAUCAUAGUACAGUGAAAAGAAUAAUUACAGCUCUUUCCAGGACUUUCAACUACACACUUUAUUCUGUUUGGGCCUCAAUUUUUAUAUCUGUAAAAUGAAGGUAUUGCCUUGAUUUCUGAUUUUGGAGUUUCAAAUUAAGCACAGUUGAUAUAUGGCUUAAGAGAGUUAGUAGUAAAUCUUAGAGAUACAUAUUUGAAGUCGUAUGAUUUAUUUAGAAACAUUUUCUUGGAGAGGAAAGAUUUUUCCUAAAUAAAAUAAAUAAAACCUAAAACCUAAAAUAGCCUUAACACACAGACCUGAUUUUUAUAAGUCCUAUUCAAAUUUCAGAAGAAAACUUAGCAUAAUAAAACUUGUUUUAUUAUCCUAAAACUUAAACAGUGAAUCUUUGUUACAUAUUUCCUUUGUGCCAAAGGAUUAUUGCCAACCAUGGUAGUUAAGGAGGAAGAGAAAGUAAAAGAUGAAGAAGACAUUGGUGUUGCCAUUCUGGGCGGUAAACAAGUCUGAUGAUGUUGACCAGAAGCUUCUCCAUCCUAUUGAAUUAAAUGUCUGAGACCAUCAUGUGGCCAAGCUUUCAGUUAAUACACAGCAAAGGACUGCAGCUGCAUAUUGACGUUGUGUAAUGAAAGACUGAUGGAAACACAUUCUGGUGAACUGCAGGAAAUCAGGGACAUGAAGCAAAAAGACAUGAAAGGGUUUUUGUAUCAGAGAUAGUAGAAAAUGAUUAAUUACUUUUUAGAUUUAGGAUUUUUAAAUAAUAGCUUUCUGGACAAUUUAUAUUCUUCUUGGUAAAAUAUUCUGCUUUGGAGUUUUUAAUUGAGGGGGUCAGGUUAUUUUGUAAGAGCAGUC
rnacentral:lncRNA from 1 species